CAAUUUUAGAAUAAGGCUGUAACUGUCACGUUCUGACCUUAGUUCCUUUUUUAUGUCUUUAUUUUAGGUUGGUCAGGGCGUGAGUUGGGGUGGGCAUUCUAUGUUGUUUUUCUAUGUUUUGUUCUGUACGUUAUAUUUCUAUGUGUUUGGCCUAGUAUGGUUCUCCAUCAGAGGCAGGUGUCGAUCGUUGUCUCUGAUUGAGAAUCCUACUUAGGUAGCCUGUUUUCCCACUAUGGGUUGUGGGUAGUUGUUUUCCGUUUCAGUGUUUGCACCAUUCGGGACUGUGUCGGUUUUCAUUUUGAUUCUCUUGUUCUUUUUGUAUUUUGUAUUCAUUCUCAUUAAAAGUUAUUAUGGAUACGUACCACGCUGCACAUUGGUCCGAUGUUUCCUACUCCUCCUCAGACGAAGAGGACGAAAGCCGUUACAGUAACGUAACAAAACUUGGAAAAAGUCAAGGGUUCUGAAUACACAGUAAAACCUCCAGUGUUACAUUCACUGUGUCUAAAGUGAUGGACUCCCAUAGAGUUGUUUUAGCAACUGGCAGUGCCAAAUGACCCCUAGUGUCAGUGCUAGUAACUGGUGUUAAUUGCUAAGGUAUAACAUUUUACUCUAUUAGUGUAGACUUUUACUCGGUAAGUGUAAACAUCCUCACAACCCCGCCCAUAAAUUCAGUUUCUGUGUUCAAAUUUCCUCUUUUCUCGACGCCAUUGUUGGAUCAACAAAAUCCUAAUUUGUUCCACGCAAAGGAGAGUUUUAAACAAUUAUUCCACUGAUAUUAUUUAGCUAUUUAAUUUCAUUUAAAUACUUGAUACUUGGUUGUCAGACUACAGUGUAACAUAAAACACCUAACAGUUUUGAUUGUGUGUGUGCAGCUAAUUUUAGAGUUACUUGCGUUUCACUUUUUGCACGUAUUUGCUAGAUAGCUAGCAUGCUAGGGAACUAGCUCGCCCCUGUCCUGUGCAGUUAGUCUGUACAGGACAGGGGCGCGUGUCUCAUUUCAGCACCGAGCUUUUUUAGCCUCAUGCUAGUUUGUUCUCUUUAUUUCACCAGCUUACUAUAUAUUAAGGACUAAUCUGAUUUAAGGUCAGUUGUUUAUUUAGCCAAAUUUUAACAGAAUUUUCAACUUGUGGGUCAUUCAUUCUUCAAUUCACUUGCCAUCAAAUAGAUUUUUCCAGAUGUAUUUUUUUACAGCUAAUAGAGAGCAUACUGAAGAGAACCUGGUGGAGAGGUUGUCAUCAAAGAAUACUCCAAAACUAAAAGCCUGACUGACUGCACCAAACGAAAGAUGAUCAACAUUCUUGUUUCGGCGAUGACAGAGACUCACGGGACAUCACCACCGUGCGGAGUGCGAGAAACGUUUGCAGAAGGCAUCGUCUCCUUAUUCCCAUACCUGAAGGAUCCCUACACCACAAAUGGAUAUGUACAUUGGCAAGAAAAAGUAUGUGAACCCUUUGAAAAUACCUGGAUUUCUGCACAAAGUGGUCAUAAAAUUCAAUCUGAUCUUCAUCUAGGUCACAACAAUAUACAAACACAGUCUGCUUAAACUAAUAACACAAACAAGGAUACGUUUUCAUGUCUUUAUUGGACACACCGUGUAAACAUUCACAGUAUAGGGUGGGAAAAGUAUGUGAACUGUUGAUUUAUAACUGGUUGACCCUCCUUUGGCAGCAAUAACCUCAACCAACCUCUGUAGUUGUGGAUCAGACCUGCACAACGGUCAGGAGGAAUAUAUUCCUCUUCAGAAAACUGUUUCAGUUCAGCAAUAUUCUUGGGAUGUCUGGUGUGAACUGCUCUUUUGAGGUCAUGCCACAGCAUCUCAAUCGUGUUGAGGUCAGGACUCUGACUACGCCACUCCAGAAAGCGUAAAGGGUUCACAUACUUUUUCUUGCCACUGUAAGUAUACCUUACAACUUAUGAAGGGCAUCUGCAUUUAAUAGGUCUGGUAUGGUAUCUGAGAAAAUGGGACUUGGUUAUAAUUUUUUCCUUUCAAGAUUAGUAACCAUUUUUAUUUCCUUAAGAACAUUUUUACGACCCUACUAGUGGAGAAGGGUACCUCUCGUAUAGAAUCAAAACCGCUCAGAGGAAUUUGGCUUCAUCUUAGAAACGGCCCACUCAACUAUACUCUGGAGGGCCAACUGCUGAGAGGGAGUCCAGGCCAUCCACUUUGGUUACCCUGAUUGAAGACCAGUGCCCUGAGGCCUUUUCUCUACUUGAAGCAUUGUUCUGAUGAAGAAACAGUCAAAGAGAAGAUGAAAUUGACCUUUCAGUACAGGAAGAAGAUGACCCACGACCCGAGUAAAUGGUCCACCGUCCAAACCAAAUUUCCACGCUUUCUGGAUGUGAAGGGCUUGAUUGAACAGGAUUUUGUGCUGCUGUUUGGAGACGGAACGUCAGCCAAGUUUUUGGAGAGGUGGCCAACUACAUUCAAGCAAAAGAUCAUCACGCUAAGCAAUACCCGAAGCAAGGCCACUCAGGGAGCUGAACUUCAGGAGCUGAUCCAGAUGGCAGAAUCUGCAGUUGAUGAGGGAGCUGAUGCGAAUGCUGACGGAUGGGACGGUGACCUUUCCUCCGUCCUUCUACGGCCCCAUUUGAUUCCUCCAUCAUCCUAAGGCUGCAAAAAACAAGACAAGAUGUUUGCAUCCCAAGCUGAACAACAUCUUGCGAUAUUCUAAAAGGCAGGAACCAGUAUCCAGGAGCACCUUGAUGCGAUUGACCAGAGCCGCCAACCUUAUCUUCUUGCAGUUGGGACCAGGAAGAGCAGCAUCCAUGCUUACCUCAUCAUCCUGGAGAAGCGAGCGCUCUUGGUGCCAUCAAUGAGCUUUUCAAGACUCACCUAGCUUUUGGUACUGCUUACAAUACAAUGCUGUGCAACAUGUACACCUUCAUACAGACAACUGUGUGCAACAUAGACAUUGAGAAGGUUAAGGAGACUCCAAGGGUUGCUGAGCUCAGAGCUAAACUCCUGCACUAAUGCUGAUGAUGAUAUGUUUUCUUUGCCAUGCUAGUCAUGGAAGUAUCAACUUGCUCGUGAGGCAUCUCAAGUUGAUGCACGGAAUGUGUCCUGGUAGAACUCUUAGACUAAAAUGUGGUCAAGCAGAUUGUUCUUGUGUAUUUGGUACAUUUUCAGGCUUUAGGAAGCAUUUGAACAGGGCACAUUCCGGAGACGGUCAAAUUUUGUUAAACGCUAACUUGGAUGCUAAUACAGCUGUUGGUAAUCAGCCAAGUAAUACUGAUUUUCCUUCAAAUUCUAGUUGUAACGAUGUUGUACCAAUAUUUAACAAGGACACACUUCCGUGUGCGUCUGCUAUUGCUGCAGGCUGCAGGUAUAGGUCAGAUGAAUGUAAAUAGUUGUGUAUCUUCCAUGGAAGAAGCAGUUCAAGAGAUACAGGGUCACGCUAAAUCGACCGCUCGUACAUGUAUAUCUUCAAAAGAUGCAGGAACUGUCAGAAAAAUCUAACAUUCUUUUCAAGAUAUUGAAAAUCCUUUCAUAUUGUUGAAUUUGGGAUCAAAACGAACUGCUUAUUUCAUACAAAAAUGGGGAACAUUUCAACCAGUUGAGAAAGUCCUUGGUGUUAGUGUAACGGGUGUCGUCAGAAGGAUGAGACCAAGGCGCAGCGUUCUUUGUGUUCCACAUAAUUUAUUAACGAAGUGAAACUUAAGAAAAGACAAAACAAUAAAGAAUACACCGACCGAACAGCUUCGUUGUGCAAACUACCUGCACACAAACAAAGAACAAGAUCCCACACAGAAGGAGGGAAAAGGGCUGCCUAAUUAUGAUCCCCAAUCAGAGACAACGAUAGACAGCUACACUCGGCCAGAAACAAAGAAAUAAAAAAAACUAGAAAUAAAUAACAUAGAAUGCCCAUCCAAAUCACACCCUGACCAAACCAAAAUAGAGACAUAAAAAGGCUCUCUAAGGUCAGGGCGUGACAGUUAGAUUUGACAAUAGAAGAAACACAAUUACUGGAACUCAUGAUCAAAUAGUCAGAACUGAUAAAUGUUCUUACGUUCCAAUUCUCCAGACGUUGCAAUCAAUUUUGAAGAACCCAAACACAAGUGGCAUGUUUAACUCGGGGCACAAUUUUAGAGACGGUGUUUACUUUGAUUUGGAAGAUGGACUAUAUAUGAAGAGGCAUCCUCUCUUUUCGAAAGAGAAAAAUGCAUCGUAAAUUCAACUAUUUUAUGAUGACUUUGAGACUGCUAAUCCAUUGGGAUCAAAAAAGGGGUAUUCACAAGUUGGGAGGUAUGUACUUUACUUUGAGAAAUGUUAC